rnacentral:rRNA from 1 species
CGGACGGGUGAGUAACGCGUGAGAAUCUAACUUCAGGACGGGGACAACAGUUGGAAACGACUGCUAAUACCCGAUGUGCCGCAAGGUGAAACCUAAUUGGACUGAAGAAGAGCUUGCGUCUGAUUAGCUAGUUGGUGGGGUAAAGGCCUACCAAGGCAACGAUCAGUAGCUGGUCUGAGAGGAUGAGCAGCCACACUGGGACUGAGACACGGCCCAGACUCCUACGGGAGGCAGCAGUGGGGAAUUUUCCGCAAUGGGCGAAAGCCUGACGGAGCAACGCCGCGUGAGGGAGGAAGGUCUUUGGAUUGUAAACCUCUUUUCUCAAGGAAGAAGUUCUGACGGUACUUGAGGAAUCAGCCUCGGCUAACUCCGUGCCAGCAGCCGCGGUAAUACGGGGGAGGCAAGCGUUAUCCGGAAUUAUUGGGCGUAAAGCGUCCGCAGGUGGUCAGCCAAGUCUGCCGUCAAAUCAGGUUGCUUAACGACCUAAAGGCGGUGGAAACUGGCAGACUAGAGAUCAGUAGGGGUAGCAGGAAUUCCCAGUGUAGCGGUGAAAUGCGUAGAGAUUGGGAAGAACAUCGGUGGCGAAAGCGUGCUACUGGGCUGUAUCUGACACUCAGGGACGAAAGCUAGGGGA